UGGGGAAUAUUGCACAAUGGACGAAAGUUUGAUGCAGCGACGCCGCGUGGAGGGUGUAGGCCUUCGGGUUGUGAACUCCUUUUUCUCGCGAAAAAGGCACAGUUUUGGCUGUGUUGAUGGUAGUGGGGGAAGAAGCGCCGGCUAACUACGUGCCAGCAGCCGCGGUAAUACGUAGGGCGCGAGCGUUGUCCGGAUUUAUUGGGCGUAAAGAGCUCGUAGGUGGUUCGUCGCGUCUGCCGUGAAAGCCAACAGCUUAACUGUUGGUCUGCGGUGGGUAGGGGCGGGCUUGAGUGCGUUAGGGGUGACUGGAAUUCCUGGUGUAGCGGUGGAAUGCGCAGAUAUCAGGAGGAACACCGAUGGCGAAGGCAGGUCACUGGGCCGUUACUGACACUGCGGCGCGAAAGCGUGGAGAGCGAACAGG
rnacentral:rRNA from 1 species